AUACGGAGGGUGCAAGCGUUACUCGGAAUCACUGGGCGUAAAGCGCGCGCAGGCGGCUAUUUAAGUUGGAUGUGAAAGCCUAUGGCUCAACCAUAGAACUGCAUCCAAAACUAUUUAGCUAGAGUGUGGGAGAGGAAGAUGGAAUUAGUUGUGUAGGGGUAAAAUCCGUAGAGAUAACUAGGAAUACCAAAAGCGAAGGCAAUCUUCUGGAACACUACUGACGCUGAGGCGCGAAAGCGUGGCGAGCAAACAGGAUUAGAAACCCUAGUAGUCC
rnacentral:rRNA from 1 species